GAUGAACGCUGGCGGCGUGCUUAACACAUGCAAGUCGAACGGUGAACGAGGGAGCUUGCUCCCUCCGGAUCAGUGGCGAACGGGUGAGUACCACGUGAGCAAUCUGCCCUGGACUCUGGGAUAAGCGUUGGAAACGACGUCUAAUACCGGAUACGAGACGUGAAGGCAUCUUCAACGUCUGGAAAGAACUUCGGUCCAGGAUGAGCUCGCGGCCUAUCAGGUAGUUGGUGAGGUAAUGGCUCCCCAAGCCUACGACGGGUAGCCGGCCUGAGAGGGUGACCGGCCACACCGGGACUGAGACACGGCCCAGACUCCUACGGGAGGCAGCAGUCGGGAAUUUUGCUCAAUGGGCGCAAGCCUGAAGCAGCAACGCCGCGUGCGGGAUGAAGGCCUUCGGGUUGUAAACCGCUUUUACCAGGGACGAUAAUGACGGUACCUGAUGAAUAAGUCACGGCUAACUACGUGCCAGCAGCCGCCGUAAUAC
rnacentral:rRNA from 1 species